rnacentral:rRNA from 1 species
AAUCCAUAGGUUAAUGAGGCGAACCGGGGGAACUGAAACAUCUAAGUACCCCGAGGAAAAGAAAUCAACCGAGAUUCCCCCAGUAGCGGCGAGCGAACGGGGAGGAGCCCAGAGCCUGAAUCAGCAUGUGUGUUAGUGGAAGCGUCUGGAAAGGCGCGCGAUACAGGGUGACAGCCCCGUACACAAAAGCGCAUGUGCUGUGAGCUCGAUGAGUAGGGCGGGACACGUGGUAUCCUGUCUGAAUAUGGGGGGACCAUCCUCCAAGGCUAAAUACUCCUGACUGACCGAUAGUGAACCAGUACCGUGAGGGAAAGGCGAAAAGAACCCCGGCGAGGGGAGUGAAAAAGAACCUGAAACCGUGUACGUACAAGCAGUGGGAGCACAGGUUUACCUGUGUGACUGCGUACCUUUUGUAUAAUGGGUCAGCGACUUAUAUUCUGUAGCAAGGUUAACCGCAUAGGGGAGCCGGAGGGAAACCGAGUCUUAAUUGGGCGUUAAGUUGCAGGGUAUAGACCCGAAACCCGGUGAUCUAGCCAUGGGCAG